rnacentral:rRNA from 1 species
AACACAAACCCCGACGCUGAAUGCGUCAAGGAAUUUAAAAUUUGCUCUGAGCGCACCUGCAUGGCACCGGAGAUGGUUUUCGUGCGGGUUGUGUUCUGACACAUAAUAUAUAGAAUGACUCUCGGCAACGGAUAUCUAGGCUCUUGCAUCGAUGAAGAACGUAGCGAAAUGCGAUACUUGGUGUGAAUUGCAGAAUCCCGUGAACCAUCGAGUCUUUGAACGCAAGUUGCGCCCGAUGCCAUUAGGUUGAGGGCACGUCUGCCUGGGCGUCACAUAUCGAAGCCUCUUGCCAAUUUCCUAAUGAUAGGUAUUGUGCAGGGUGAAUGUUGGCCUCCCGUGAGCUCCAUCGUCUCAUGGUUGGUUGAAAAUCGAGACCUUGGUAGUUUGUGCCAUGAUAGAUGGUGGUUGUGUUACGCACGAGCCCAAAUAAUCAUGUGCUGCUCUAUCGAAUUUUGCCUCUUUUACCCAUAUGUGUUUCUAAACGCUCGUGAUGAGACCUCAGGUCAGGCGGGGCUACCCGCUGAAUUUAAGCAUAUCAAUAAGCGGAGGAAAAGAAACUAACAAGGAUUCC